UACGUAGGGUGCAAGCGUUGUCCGGAAUUAUUGGGCGUAAAGAGCUCGUAGGCGGUUUGUCGCGUCUGCUGUGAAAACUCGGGGCUUAACCCCGGGCCUGCAGUGGGUACGGGCAGACUAGAGUGCGGUAGGGGGAGACUGGAAUUCCUGGUGUAGCGGUGAAAUGCGCAGAUAUCAGGAGGAACACCAGCGGCGAAGGCGGCGCUCUGGGCCGGUACUGACACUGAGGAGCGAAAGCGUGGGUAGCAAACAGG
rnacentral:rRNA from 1 species